CCUGCCGCUGGUCGAGGCGGCGGGGCCGUUCGCAUCGGCACUGGAGCGACUACGCGCGUUCGAUCGCGAUGGCGUGC
rnacentral:tRNA from 1 species